rnacentral:misc_RNA from 1 species
GCCUACUGUUUAAUUUUGAGGGUUCGUUUUUACGGAUACUCAAAAUUAGCACUUUGAAAACUGCAUAUAUAUUUAGUGAUAUGACAUCUAAUUUGUAAUAUAUAAAGCUGAUAACUUUUUAAAAUUAUCGAAGUUGAUAGCUUCUAAUCUAUCAAACCUUUUUAACUGGUCAA